rnacentral:lncRNA from 1 species
UGCUGAUGGAGGAGGGGUUGGAAAUCCCUCUGGUAGCCAAAAGAUGGUCUCAGAACAAUUCGGAACACACUGUGGGGUGUUGGUAAUACCAGGUCUCCUGAGGCGUCCGGUCUCUGUGGAAAAUGAGUGUAGUGAACUCGGCGGCAGACCCACCCACCUCCUCUCAGUGACACAGCUUGAGAGUAUGUGAGGCUCUCUCCAAACUGGCUGCACUAUAGCCUUGCCUGAGGGAACUGAACAACCUCAGAGGAAUGGAAACCCCUAUUGCUAGCUGUUUGCUUUUGAAGUCAGAGACGGCUGUAUCUUUGUGCAAGCGCAGCUGGGACUAGUCGAUCACGGUUUAUUUUUAAGACAAGAAAAGAAGCUUUCCAGAAGAAUUGACACCCAGGGAUGAAGUGUGGAUUAACAUGAAGACACAAACAACUAUGGAAACAGCUGCCUCACAGUGACUGCCUUUAUGUAGGCACGACACAGUGUGAAAAACAUUUCUGUGAAAAAACCAUUCUAUCUAAACAUCCCUGUGUUGCUAGCACCAACCUUUAAAUACAGAGGGGCUGGGGUAUUCACUGGAUUGUUUCUAGAUGGUUGGAGCUGGAACAGGACCCAUACCCUACCAGGCCAUUGCCCGAGGCCCCACUCAGCUCCGCCUUGAAUAACUUCAAUUC